rnacentral:rRNA from 1 species
GACGAGGGUCCAAGCGUUGUUCGGAAUCAUUGGGCGUAAAGCGGGUGUAGGUGGCUCUAUAAGUCAGAAGUGAAAGCCCCGAGCUUAACUCGGGAAGUGCUUUUGAUACUGCAGAGCUUGAAUGUGGGAGAGGGUAGUGGAAUUCCAGGUGUAGUGGUGAAAUACGUAGAUAUCUGGAGGAAGACCAGUGGCGAAGGCGGGUCUCUGGACAGUUCCUGACGCUGAGGCACGAAGGUCAGGGGAGCAAACGGG